rnacentral:rRNA from 1 species
UACGUAGGGUGCGAGCGUUUGUCCGGAAUUAUUGGGCGUAAAGGGCGCGUAGGCGGCUUUGCAAGUGGCGGGUGAAAUCCCUCGGCUUAACCGAGGAACUGCCUGCCAGACUGUGAGGCUUGAGACCGGGAGAGGUGAGUGGAAUUCCCAGUGUAGCGGUGAAAUGCGUAGAUAUUGGGAGGAACACCAGUGGCGAAGGCGGCUCACUGGACCGGAACUGACGCUGAGGCGCGAAAGCGUGGGGAGCAAACAGGG